rnacentral:rRNA from 1 species
AUGAACGCUGGCGGCGUGCCUAAUACAUGCAAGUCGAGCGAACAGACGAGGAGCUUGCUCCUCUGACGUUAGCGGCGGACGGGUGAGUAACACGUGGAUAACCUACCUAUAAGACUGGGAUAACUUCGGGAAACCGGAGCUAAUACCGGAUAAUAUAUUGAACCGCAUGGUUCGAUAGUGAAAGACGGUUUUGCUGUCACUUAUAGAUGGAUCCGCGCCGCAUUAGCUAGUUGGUAAGGUAACGGCUUACCAAGGCAACGAUGCGUAGCCGACCUGAGAGGGUGAUCGGCCACACUGGAACUGAGACACGGUCCAGACUCCUACGGGAGGCAGCAGUAGGGAAUCUUCCGCAAUGGGCGAAAGCCUGACGGAGCAACGCCGCGUGAGUGAUGAAGGUCUUCGGAUCGUAAAACUCUGUUAUUAGGGAAGAACAAAUGUGUAAGUAACUAUGCACGUCUUGACGGUACCUAAUCAGAAAGCCACGGCUAACUACGUG